ensembl:lncRNA LINC01152 long intergenic non-protein coding RNA 1152
AGGCAGGAGGGAGAGCGGGAGACUUCCGGAAAUCCCUUUCCUCCCUUCCCUUCACAGGUUGCCCCAUAGUGACCCUGGAGACUCCCGCCUGCCCCCAGUGAAGGAAUUGGUUACUCUCCCAGAGCCCUCCCGGGCAUCGCCCCCUUCCUCACUUCCUCCUCUUCCUGCCCCCAGCCUCUACCCCUCCAGCCUCCUGUGGCUUCACAGGCAAGUGCCGCAUCCCAGGAAGAAGGAGUUGGAGCUCCGUGAUGUUCUGGAAGCUGAGAAGUCUAAGGUCAAGACUCCAGUGGAUUACGCAUCUGGCGAGAGCCUACUUCCUGGUUUCCAUUCAAAAACAGAUGAGAUGGGGACAGAUUUAACCCAAAGGACAUAGUUCAACUCCUGGUCUUGACAGAGGAGAAGCCCUCAAAGCCUCUCUCAAUUGCCUUCUCAGCUUGUAUGCUUUGAAGAAGCAAGCUGCAGUGUUGGAGAGGCCCAUGUGGCAAGGAAAUGAGGGUGGCCUCCAGUCAAUGGCUGGUGAGAAACUGAGACCUUCCUUCCAACAAUUGUCAAGUAACUGAAUACUCCCAACAAUCAUAUGGGUUAGGUUAGAAGUGAACCUUUCUCUAGUUGAGGUUUCAGAUAAGACCACAGAUAUUAUACUAACACCUUGAUUGCAGGCUUAUGAGAAACCUUGAAAUGAGAAGACUAAGUAAAACCAUAUCUGGAUUCCUGACUUGCAGAAACUGUGUGAUGAUAAAUGUGUGUUAUCUUAAGCCACAAAGUUUUUGGGGUGAUUUGUUCUACAGCAAUUGAUAAUGAAUACUUCAACCUAUAGUGACAACUGGAUGUCUAUUUACUCAUUUUCCCCACCAAAGUGUAAAGUUCCUACAAGGCAGAGGUUACAACAUAUUCAUCCUGCUACCUCUCACAGCCCAUAAUAUACAACCUGACCCAUAAAACAUGAUUAAUCAAUGUUUGUUAAAUUAACAUGUAUUUUGAGUUUCAUUGAAAUCAGUUAGUUGAAGUGAUAAUAACAUUUAAAUGUGCAUGAGCAGUAGGACAAGGCAGAUAGCUGGUUAGGAUAGAAAGUUUUUGAAAAUUGUGAGGGGAAAAAUUAUUUCUAUUUGUACCCUGUUGUACCCAGCUUAGGUUUCAAAAACUUUCAGGGGGUUUUUAUUCAUUUACCAAAGACUUCAAAGUUGGUGCCUCCCCACCACUCUAAAGAGGUCUUUGCCCUUAUUGACCCAACCAUACUGAUUUGCCUGGUGCACAGUGGGAGCUAUUAUAAGGAGAGGGGAGAAGAAGGAAAUAGAAACAACUGUGAAAAAGGUUGAAAAAAAUAGCGAAAAGGAUAGAAAAAGAGCAGAGGAAAGAGAAGAAGUAGUCAACAUCCAACCCAGAUGCAGAGAAAUGAUUCAAAAGAAAAA